CCCCUAGAUGUUCUGGGCCGCACGCGCGCUACACUGAACAGUUCAACAAGUCUUAACCUUGGCCGAUAGGUCUGGGUAAUCUUUGAACGCUGUUCGUGAUUGGGAUAGACCUUUGCAAUUAUGGGUCUUCAACGAGGAAUUCCUAGUAAACGCAAGUCAUCAGCUUGCAUUGAUUACGUCCCUGCCCUUUGUACACACCGCCCGUCGCACCUACCGAUUGAAUGGUCCGGUGAAAUCUCGGGACGGCGGCUUGGUCGCUUGCGUCCGACUGCUGAAACUUGAUUAAACCAAAUCAUUUAGAGGAAGGUGAAGUCGUAACA
rnacentral:rRNA from 1 species